rnacentral:lncRNA from 1 species
UUGGAAGCCCAUGAGCUGAACGAUCCAUGGCCCUUUCGCCACACGGCCUCUCGGGCCGAGAGUGAUCCUACCCUCGGCCCAAACUAUUAUUUUGGGCCCAAACAGAGACUUACAAAUGUAUAUUUUCAAAUAGUUAUUUAUAAUUUUUCUCACGUAUCUUUGUAUUAUUCAUGAAUUGCACUUCUAACUUCCAAUAUACAGCAUUUUACAGCACAUUUCUCACUAAUUUGGCCUCAAUCUCUUCAAUAAUCUCACCAAAACAUAGCUCAAAAUAAAACAAAAACUAUCCAUCUUAAUUAUUACACGUAUAUGCAUAAGCAUAACCAAAAGAAGCUUUUCUCUGUCGAAUUUUGGAAUGAGAUCUGAUCUAAAGGAAAGGAAAGGAAAGAACUUGGGAAUGAAACGUGGCGUUCAUUCGAGCAUGCAUUGUGGUUGCUUUCAGAUCUCUUCUUCUCCUCCUCCUCCUCCUCCUCAAAACCACCAUUAAUGAUUUAGGGUCCAAUAAAAAGGCCAGUCUUUUUCUUUGACUGCGUACCUCGCAAAUAAUAGAGAGUUUAGCAAUCGUAAAGCAUUAGGCAUGCAUUGUAUGCGCAUUGUCAUGGAGUGGGCUGACGAUAUUCCUACGUACAGUUGUAAGCAAAAACCACGCAUUAUUAUUUGGCAUACAAAGAAGUCACAUAUAUGCCCAAAUGUAUAAACUUAACUAUAUAUGAAACUAUUCAUUAACUAUUCAUUAGACAAAAUGAGAGAAAAUCUUUGCCAGAAAUCUAUUUUUAUUAUUAAAAAAGAAAGCGGGACGGAAAUGAUGAAUUUCUCUGUUUAUUUUAUUUGUACUGAUUUUAGUCGAGAAAAUGAGGAGAGAAAAGCGUAGCGAAAGGCCCCCGAGAUAAGGUCACAUUACUUAUCUGCACUGAAAGUUAAAAGCAUGCAAAGUAAAAAUCCAACAGCCUUUGAAACUCAUGCAAGUCAAUACGAAAGAAGAGAAAGUAUUCUGCAACUACUGAUGGUUGAAUAAUAAUCAAAUUAAGGUGGUGUUAUCGUCUACUGAUUUGAGUUAGAACACGUUUUUGUUUUGAUUUAUCAGCAGACAAGAUUAUUGUGGAGCCAAAAAUAUUCACUAGGCGACACGUGGACUUUUGGACAAAAGAGGACAAAAAUACCCUCAAGGCAUACCGGUUUUCCUACACGCGAGCAGUAGAGAAUCAUUUUUUCAACCAAGUCAAAAGUGCCCAAAAUAGGUAUCAAC